rnacentral:rRNA from 1 species
UUCAUGGAGAGUUUGAUCCUGGCUCAGGACGAACGCUGGCGGCGUGCCUAAUACAUGCAAGUCGAGCGGACCGACGGGAGCUUGCUCCC